UAUCUCUCUCUAUAGAUCUCUUAUCAGCAGUUGGAGGAACUUGUCUAAAGUUUACUAACCAAAGGUAUGGCUAAGUUGUGCAGCAGUCAUUUUUCACAGCCACACGAGAAAAGCCUGGAAAAGCGAAAUCGGAAAGAUUUCCUAAAGGUUAUUUUGCACACUCUCAUUGACGCCAUCAAUACGACGACAACGAUUCACAAUCCAAAAAAAAUCCUAUGCGAAAACCUAGAGCUUCAAUCGAGGAAGGGGAAUCGGCGAUCAAAGUACGGAAUGCUCUCUACGAGCCUUGAGAAAAGGCGCAAACGAA